AUUGAACGCUGGCGGCAUGCUUUACACAUGCAAGUCGAACGGCAGCGCGGACUUCGGUCUGGCGGCGAGUGGCGAACGGGUGAGUAAUAUAUCGGAACGUACCCAAGAGUGGGGAUAACGUAGCGAAAGUUACGCUAAUACCGCAUACGAUCUAAGGAUGAAAGCAGGGGAUCGCAAGACCUUGUGCUCCUGGAGCGGCCGAUAUCUGAUUAGCUAGUUGGUGAGGUAAAGGCUCACCAAGGCAACGAUCAGUAGCUGGUCUGAGAGGACGACCAGCCACACUGGAACUGAGACACGGUCCAGACUCCUACGGGAGGCAGCAGUGGGGAAUAUUGGACAAUGGGCGCAAGCCUGAUCCAGCCAUGCCGCGUGUGUGAAGAAGGCC
rnacentral:rRNA from 1 species